UUUUUCCUUCUUUCUUUCUUUUUUUAAAAUUAAUUCAGCAGGUCUAACGUUUGGCUUCUGGUGCAACAGAGGCCGGGAGAAAGAAACAACCACCCGUUAAAGCAGAUUUUUUUUUUUUUUUUUUUUUAAUACCUGGGAUGUCUGGCAGGUGGCUGAACCCCGCACAAGUAGGCCCGAGCUCCAAGCAUAGAAGCCUUCUCGGGUUGCCUGGUCCUUCCAUCAUCCGGACCUUGGCCUGGUCGCACCGACCUCAGGAAUGCCUGCACUCCCGAGGCCAGGGCAGCGCAAGCCCCAGAGUCACCUGCCUGGUCCCCUCCUGUCCCUUGCCCUGCGGAUCGGACCUCAGGGACAUGGUCCUGCAUCUCUGGCUAUCUAUCUACCAGCUCUCAUUUUUAUCUCUCUUGGCCAUACUUUGCAACGGAGCACCAAUCAAAAUGAAAAUCCGGAAUUCAUAGCUGAGACAAAGAUUGCCCUUUUCUUCAGCUGUAACUAGAUUUUUAAAGUAUGUUCACCUUGAUAAUGCACAAUGCGAAAACCUUGCAUUUCUCAAAGCCAGUCUCCUGCAUAUCAACUAAAUUCUCCCCACAAUUAAUAAGAGCCACUGAACAAUUAUCGUUAUUGGAUUUAAAGCACUUUUAAAAAUAUUCUCCCAACAAAUAUUUCUGUUAGAAUUUGAUUUCCCAACAACAUUGUAUUUAUUUAUUCCCGGGGAGUCAAGGUGAUGUUUUAGUAGUGAUGGAUACAUAUUUACUCCUCUUUCUCCUUGUGAAUCUCUGCCUCCCCCUCUGGGAGACACAAAAAAAGGAUAUUUAAACUAGAUGCUAACAAACUCAUGCACACGCAUUGGAAAUUCUCUACCGGCUCAUUCCAAUAGGGACACGAAGGGGUUAAGCCUGAGGCCUUCUGUUGUCUCCUUCCUUUUCCCGCCCCCCCCCCGCCCGCUCCCGCGGGACCGCCGGGAUUGGCUGGCACGCUGCCAGCAGGCUGUCAAUCACCGAGUGUAAACAAGGCGCUGAUUGGCUGUUGUCCAGUCCGCACAGGGCCUCCUGAAAAAAGCAAUUACUGGCUCCGCGGUUUCAAGGCGCCCAAGGCCGCUUGAUGAAAGGAGAUAAGCUGGGGACAGUUUCCAGGACCCCCACGGGCCGACCUCAGCAGCCCGGGAGCCGAGGUGCGCCGCAGAGCCUGCGGAUCAAAGGAAUCCGGAGAGAAAGGGGAAGCAGGCGCACGGCCCGGGCCGGCCUUCCCCCGCGGGCAUCUCUGACCUGGGGUGGGGGCUUGGGCGGCGGGCGGGGGCUCCGGGAUUGGGCGCCCGCUUCGGGCGGCGUGGCCGGCGGGGCGGCUCCGGAGAGCCCGGGGCUGGCAGGUAAGCACCGGGACACGGCGAGCGCGGGACAGGGCGCGCGGUCCCGAGCUGAGGCUCCGGCGAUGCCCCGACGCAGCGGCAGAGAUAAAACCCCAGCUGCCGGAGCCUCUGGCCAGUCCCGAGGCCGACGCCUUCGGAAACGACCCCAGGCGGCGCGCGGCAACCGCGGGAGGAGAGGCAGCUUGCAUAAAUCCAUAAAGCGCCUGGAGAUCCGAUUAGCGCGCGGCUAUUCAUUAGGCCGUGGGCGAUUGAAUUAGGUCCCGGUUGCGGACCGGGGUGGGGGGGGGUGUGGGCCGCUCGGGCUUGGCGCUACCAUCGGGGUGGGGGGUGGCUGACGCGGACCACCGGGCUCGGCCCGUGGCUUCUGGAGGAUGGAGUCGCAGUGACGGCCCCGGCGUGUGUUGGGGAGACGGACUUCCUCUGGGUCCCGCCCCUACGGGUGCGUGCGGAGGCCCCCCGCUUCCCACGCACAUCCUGGAAAGCCGGCCCGGUUGGGGAGAAAUCGCUCUCACCUAGAAGUGGGUCGGCGGGGACGGCCUCCAGCCUGGGCUCCGGAACCCCUUGCAGGGCCAGGCGAGGCCGGAGCUCGGGCUGGAAGCGGCUUGCCGCGCCGUCCCGGAGCGCGCCGGGCUCACACUGCGUCCUUGGCCCCGGUGGCCUGGUGCGCGGAGGCUGCUCGGUCCGUGAGCCCUGGGACCCCCACCAGCUUCCCGCAGCCCCUCGGCACAGUUCUCCAGCCGGGACUUUGAAGUCUAGAUCCCCGGCAAAGCACCCCUAGCUGACAGCACGUUGCCUACUCUGGUUUGGUAGCGGAGUACCCCAUUGCUGACAUUCUCCAAUGAGUUGUUUCCCGGCCCAGGAACCUUCUUUUUUUUAAUGUAAGAUUGAGUUUUAAAGUUCCGUUUGAAAUGAAAUAUAUACGUGAGCAAAAUACAUAUAAGAAAAAGAUUCUCCAUCCAAGGGAAAGAACACCUUGGCGACCGGCGGAAUCCCUGGAGUUUCUCUGAGUUCCCAGAGCUGCGCCCCCGGCCCGAUGCCCAUGGGCCAGGAGGGGACUCCUGCCCUCUGACCGCCUGUGGGGGAGACCAAGGGGCUUCCAGUCUCCAGGAUCCCGCAGUUUGCGCAGAAAGGCACCCGCUGGGAAAUCCCCAUUCUCUGCUCCCCACCUCGGAGGGCAGAAGAUUGUCUGAAGGUCCUGGAGCCUGGCCGAUGGGCCCCACCCUAGCGGUACUGGAGGCCUGCAGGCUGCUCGAGACCGCAGAGAACUGUACGAUUCUGGGACCUCCCUGCCCUUGCGGGUUGCAGCUGGCGUUCACCAGAUUACUAAUUCAGGGGGAACCCCUGCGUCCACAUGCCUCUCCUGCCAGACACCCCUCCUGGCUUGCCCUCUGGCCUGGGAAGAAGGUAAACAGAUGCCCGAGAAGCCAGCUGUUCUCUGACACCUGGGCGUGCUCUCUCAGCACACUUACAUCCACACUACACUCUCGCGCACACACCGCCCCUGUGCACACGCGUACGUCUCACACGCACGUGCGCGUACAUCACACUCAGGGCUGCACCCUUGAGCACCACGCAGCACGUUACACUCCCAUGUGCACAAAACAUACGUGCACACGCUUCAUCUCCCAUAGCGGCCCAUGUUUACACGUGGCCCAGCGUUCUGGAGAACCUGCCUUGCCCCACGCAGCCUGGGGGCCCCUGACACAUCCCCCCGCAGCCUGUCCCCAGCCAUGGAGUUCCAUCUACAGUGCUCCCAGCUCCCAAAAGACCACGAUCCUGCUCUGCCUGAAAUCAUGAAAUAAUCAUUUUUUUUAACACAAGGGUGUGGGGGUGUCGGGUGAGUUACAUAAAAUUGUGAAUUAGUCCCUGCUCCAAAUAAAUGCCUACUUGGGCCAGAGAACAGCAGAGAGAGAGCUGCGCGCUCCGUAAUUGUGUGCCGGGUGUCUCUCCAUUGUUCCCAGGGCCAUUAGUCAAAGGGCAAAUUAGGAAUAAUUUCUUGACAAAAAUUGACUCUUAAUUCGCCCCCACCCCCUGCCAGGCUCAGGGGGCCAAGUCCAGAGGGCAGGCAAGCAGGCCUGCCUGAAGGGGGGGCCCUGUAUCCACAGGUUUGCACUGGGCAUGAGGGGGAAGGAGGGUGAGCUGACCCAGCACCCCCUACCCUCCCUCAGCGGGAGAGCGGUGCACAUCCACUCUCUUUCCAAGGACAGUACAUGAGGGGUGUAAAAAAAUCAGGCCUGUUCCCAGAAGUGCCUUCGCUGGAGGAGCUCCCCAGGCACCACUGAAGCCUCCAGGAAGCAGGGCUGGGCCCCAACACCAUCUUCCAGAAGGAGGUCUUCUACCAGUUAUGGGGUGGGGUGGGUGGGGGGGUGCGCUGGAGGGAGCAGGGGUGUGGGGGGAAGGGCAGCCCAUCCAGCCCACCUGAGAAGCCCCCAAAUGUGGCUCCCUCACUAAGCACUCCCCUGGGAUCCCUGCCUUCCCAGGUGCUCCCUGGCUGUGGGUGGGACCCCAGGAGGUCCACUCCAAGGUGCUGCACCAGGAAUUUGUGCCUGGACUGGAGGGUGGCCUUAGCUGCCACAUCUUCAGCUUCUGGGGCUUCUGCUUUGUUGGGGCAGCCCACUUUGGAGUGGAGAGAAAGAUGAAAAUCCCCAGGACUCCCGUCCCCCAGAGAAGGAUGCUGUUCCCGCAGAAAACAGUGCCUCCAGUCACAAUGGGCCUGGUGACAGGAGAGAGGCAGCAGACACAGAAACAAGAGUAGUUGGGGCCAGGUCUGGCUGGGAUGGUCCCCCGCCACGCCUCCCCCAGGAAGUCUUCCUCCAGCAUCACCAGGCUCUGUGCCCUGGGCCGAAUCCCUCCCAGAUCCCAGCUCCUGAGCCAGGGGCCUGC